GGAGGGGUUCCCGAGUGGCUAAAGGGGACAGACUGUAAAUCUGUUGUCUGCGGACUACGGAGGUUCAAAUCCUCCCCCCUCCA
rnacentral:tRNA from 1 species